ACGUCUAACGUUUAAGGGAUCCUUGGACUUUUCCCCCUUUGUUUCCUUCCUCUAAACAAUUGCGGCCACCGUUGCUGCUGGAGGAAAAGGAAAAACGAACUUAAUUGGCGGAGAGAAGAGAGGAGGAGGGCCGACAGUAGCGGUGGCAAAAUUCAACUAUAUGGCCACCCUUCUUUCCUCUCAUCUCCCUCCUCCUUCCUUUUCUCCUCAAUAACGCUCAAUUUCAAAAUCCUUUCUCCUUCCUUCUUCUCUCUCGUCUUCGAACCCUCGAAAAUUCCCCAAAAAUUCUCUCCUUGCUUUCUCUUCCAAUAAUUUCGAUGCCUCUUCUUUUCAUGAUGCCUUCGGUUCCAAUCCUACUCCCUCUAAGAAAGCAGCCCCUACCAAUCUGAUACAGGAGAUAGAACCAUUGGAUGUUAGCCUUAUCCAAAAAGAUGUCCCCCCACAACUGUGGACGCCAUGAAAAGGACUAUUUAAGGCAUGUUGGGUUUACUUCCAUCUGAUAGGUUUCGAGUCUUUAUUGAGGCAUUACAGGAACCUCUCUCCAAGUUGUUGUUUUCUUCUAUGAUGACUGGGAACUUGGUGAAGUCAAGAGGAAAAGUGGUGCUCUGCAAAUGCAACAGUUUGUUGGGGAAGAAGAGAAUGAUUUACUUGACUGCUUAAGAUGACUAUAACCAGAAAAGGUUUCCCUUGAUUCAAAAACUUUCUAAGCCAAAUUGAUGUACUAAUAUCCCAUUAACACGAUGCUAUGAAUGUAAUAUCUCCUUAUGAUUAUACGAUUUAUGUUCUUUGCUUUUUUCUCCAUUAAUACUGAGGGAAGAUUGAACUGAUUAAAAGAGCAUUUGCAAUGUCAUAAUUUCAUGCCCCCAGUUGUAUAGGAAUGAGGUGCAGAUUUUGGUUUGAAA